AUGCACGCUGGCGGCGUGCUUAACACAUGCCAGUCGAACGGUGAAGCAGAGCUUGCUCUGUGGAUCAGUGGCGAACGGGUGAGUAACACGUGAGCAACCUGCCCCUGACUCUGGGAUAAGCGCUGGAAACGGCGUCUAAUACUGGAUAUGAGCUGCGACCGCAUGGUCAGCAGUUGGAAAGAUUUUUCGGUCUGGGAUGGGCUCACGGCCUAUCAGCUUGUUGGUGAGGUAAUGGCUCACCAAGGCGUCGACGGGUAGCCGGCCUGAGAGGGUGACCGGCCACACUGGGACUGAGACACGGCCCAGACUCCUACGGGAGGCAGCAGUGGGGAAUAUUGCACAAUGGGCGAAAGCCUGAUGCAGCAACGCCGCGUGAGGGAUGACGGCCUUCGGGUUGUAAACCUCUUUUAGCAGGGAAGAAGCGAAAGUGACGGUACCUGCAGAAAAAGCGCCGGCUAACUACGUG
rnacentral:rRNA from 1 species